rnacentral:rRNA from 1 species
GACGAACGCUGGCGGCGUGCUUAACACAUGCAAGUCGAACGGAAAGGCCCUGCUUUUGUGGGGUGCUCGAGUGGCGAACAGGUGAGUAACACGUGAGUAACCUGCCCUUGACUUUGGGAUAACUUCAGGAAACUGGGGCUAAUACCGGAUAGGAGCUCCUGAUGCAUGGUGGGGGUUGGAAAGUUUCGGCGGUUGGGGAUGGACUCGCGGCUUAUCAGCUUGUUGGUGGGGUAGUGGCUUACCAAGGCUUUGACGGGUAGCCGGCCUGAGAGGGUGACCGGCCACAUUGGGACUGAGAUACGGCCCAGACUCCUACGGGAGGCAGCAGUGGGGAAUAUUGCACAAUGGGCGGAAGCCUGAUGCAGCAACGCCGCGUGCGGGAUGACGGCCUUCGGGUUGUAAACCGCUUUCGCCUGUGACGAAGCGUGAGUGACGGUAAUGGGUAAAGAAGCACCGGCUAACUACGUG